CCUACGGGAUGCAGCAGUGAGGAAUAUUGGUCAAUGGUCGGGAGACUGAACCAGCCAAGCCGCGUGAGGGAGGAAGGUACAGAGUAUCGUAAACCUCUUUUGUCAGGGAACAAAGGCGGGGACGUGUCCCCGGAUGAGUGUACCUGAAGAAAAAGCAUCGGCUAACUCCGUGCCAGCAGCCGCGGUAAUACGGAGGAUGCGAGCGUUAUCCGGAUUUAUUGGGUUUAACGGGUGCGCAGGCGGUCUGUUAAGUCAGCGGUAAAAGCCCGGGGCUCAACCCCGGUCCGCCGUUGAAACUGGCAGUCUCGAGUUGGAGAGAAGUAUGCGGAAUGCGCGGUGUAGCGGUGAAAUGCAUAGAUAUCGCGCAGAACUCCGAUUGCGAAGGCAGCAUGCCGGCUCCACACUGACGCUGAGGCACGAAAGCGUGGGUAUCGAACAGGAUUAGAUACCCCUGUAGUC
rnacentral:rRNA from 1 species